CAGGUACAGCGGGAAGCCACCUGGCGACAGGGCGCGGAACCCGAAAACCUGUCUCAGUUCGGAUUGGAGUCUGCAACCCGACUCCAUAAAGCUGGAUUCGCUAGUAAUCGCGCAUCAGCCACGGCGCGGUGAAUACGUUCCCGGGCCUUGUACACACCGCCCGUCAAGCCAUGGAAGCCGGGAGUGCCUGAAGUGCGUGACCGCAAGGAGCGUCCUAAGGCAAUACCGGUGACUGGGGCUAAGUCGUAACAAGGUAUC
rnacentral:rRNA from 1 species